CCGUGGGUUAACAUGUUAGUGAUCAUGGGCUUCCCGUGCCCUGGUCAUUGAUAGUGCAGGGAGAGGAAUUGCUGAAAGCGUUUCCCCGUGUUUGGAGGGUCCACUCCUAUCCCUUCCAAACUCUGGAGCUUUCCCACA